AGAACCUUUUCUCUCCGAGUCCCGAGUUAUGUUUCGACCUGCUCAGGAUGAUUUGAUGGGGUUGUAGUAUGUCGGGAGGCUGUUGCAAAAGAUAAGGAAAAGGGAGAUGGAAGGCGCUUGUUUGAGUGAGAGCAGUAGUGACAUCUGCUGCAAGGAUGCCAGCUGGCAGUGGUUCCCUGGGAAAGUACACAAGUUCCUAUGAAAAUACAAUGGCCCAGUCGUCCAGCAUUGGAGAUUAUGCCAACAAGACUUUACCUCUCAGUAACAAAACAGACCAGAAGAUACAAUAGCGGAGCUAUAUUCUGUUCUCUAUCUUGUUGGAAGCCCAGAGAGUUGUUGUCAAAGCAAAGGUGGAUUGCAGUUGAUGGAUAUGAAAGGAACCCAGGAAAUGAGUGUAAUGGAGAAAUCAAAUGGUGGGAGAGAAAUGGCUGCAGUGGAGGCUGGCUAAUGACUGGAAGAAAGGAAGUGUGGUUUUCCCUGCAACGCUUUCAAAUACCUCCAGCCAUACUUACAACAGGUCAGCUGAAUUCACCUCCACAGUAAUGGAAGGCAAAGCAAAGUGGCUUUUGUACAAUUUGAGGUUGUAGUCAUAUGAGAGUUAAUUCUCACAUACUCAGCAGAAAACAACCUGCCUGUUGCCAGAACAGGAGAUGGAUGGAAAUUGGGCCUCCCAUCCAGAAGAGAGGGCUAUCUUACCCAUUGCAUAGCUUGAGCAGGCAAACAUGUGAAUGUAGAUCUCUAUAAAUAAAGCUAUAUCUGA